AACACGGCUUUCACCCCAAGUGGUGCAGCGCGAUUCUCCGCUAGUGUGAAUAAUAGUUGAUGUAAAAAUAAAACAACAGUUCUGGCUCUAGAGAUAGAAAAAAAGUUGCUCCUUUUGGUUUGAUAGCAGCAGCAGCAGCAGAAAGCAUCUAAAAUUAAUCUGGAAAUCACGGCAAAUGGAGAAAAAAGAUAUUCAGCCGCGGUGUGUUGUUGGGUGGUGCUGAUGCAACAAGUUGUGGUUCGUGUUGUGUUCUAUUUGAACAGUGUCAGUUCGAGUGAAAAUAGUUUUGCAGCACUACACACUAGGUAGUAAGUCGGCGCUACAAAUACCAACACGGAGAAACGGAAGAAGGAAGGCACCCAUUCGGUUGGAGGGGAAUGCGAGCAGCGUUGUGGGUGGGGGAAAAAUCUAAUUGUAGAAGAAAGCUAUAAUUGUGAAGGCGCCUGGUCGGACGUCGGAAAACGAGAAAAGGGAAUAAAAAGUUCGGAAUCAGUUCAGUGCUACGUCGACAGUUUUUUUUCUCCUGCCUAUGUCAAACGAGCUGUUUUCAAUGGUUGUUUGAAGAAAAACGUGUAAGCGGAAGUGUGUAUGCGUAUGAUAACGGAAAGGACCAGGAAGAAGAAAAAGUUUGAUAAAAUAAGAAAUUCCGGUAGAAGAAAAACUUCUCCUGGCGAAACACUAAAUCAUUCUAGCGUUGGUGGUUUGGUUUUUGCAUAAGCUGUUAUACAAAUUUUGGCUGGUAAAAAGGCAUAGGGGGGGAGGGUGGAGUUUUUAUGACAAAGUGGAUAGUUAAAGUGUUAAAACAUAGUGAAAAUGUCCUACCGGAGCAACUAUAGUUAUUCCUCGUGGCAGUCGAGCUACACUCCAACGUAUUCGUCGUAUAGUUCUUCCCUGGGAAGUAGUAGAUUCUCGACCGAACCAUCGAGCUCUAGGUUCGGAUCGUUGAGCUCUGCAGGUGGUAGUAGCUUCCGACCAUCGUACACUUCCGGGACGUAUCGAUCGCCUCGUACAACAACAUCCAAUGUGUCUAUGUACAUCAACCGCUAUUCAACCCUUGCCACUGACAAAGAAAAGGAAAAAGAGCGUGAAAAGGCGAAAGAGGAAGAACGUAAACGUGAGCGUGAACGUGAGUUGCGUGAGAAAGAACGCGCUAGAGAGCGUGAUCGUGAAAAAGAACGACUGAUUGAGACAUCGAAAAAAUUGGAAGCUGAGCUUGAGAAAGAGAAACCCAAGUUAGUGAAACGUUCAGCUUUGAUUGCUGCAAAAUAUGGCUCUUCCAAAGAUUUGGAUGGUGACGACUCUUCUAAAACAGCUUCAAAAACUCUAGCGUCGAAAACCAAGAAGGAAAAUGCACCUCCCGUGACGUUUACCACACGUUAUGGUAAAGCUGGUGUUGCAAAGGACAAAUCCAGAGAGCCCAGUCCUGCUACUCGAACCAACUCUUCAUCCAAUUUGAAUACAUCUCGUUCAAGAGUACGUGAUCCCAGUCCUGCAGGCGGGGCUGUUGCCAAUAGAGCUAGAUCUAGGGAUCCAAGCCCAGCGGUAGAAACGAAACGUACAGGACGUUACACUGCAGCAAUUGCAAACAAACUUACUUCCAAGGACGCGAAUACUCAGUCAUCUGCCAACGAAUACAAAAGACAGGCUUCAAACACUCUCAGCAGUUUUCUUCAAAACCGCGCUCGGGAUCCUAGUCCAACAGUUCGAACAAGAACUUCCAGGGAGCCUAGCCCUGUAGAAACUAAAAAGCUAACCAAAUCUUUCAAUGCUCGAUCUCGAGAUCCAAGUCCUGCUGCAAGUCGUUUGAAUGUAACCAAGACAGCUACUACUGCAAGGCAUCGAUCAAGGGAUCCAAGUCCUGCAGAACCUAAAAAAUUCAACAAUAGCAUUUCUACAAAAUCUGGCAUUCGAUCACGGGACCCAAGUCCUGCUGUAGAUAGUAAGAAAAUACCCGUCUUUACUUCAAGUAAAUUAAGGUCGAGAGAUCCAAGUCCUGCUUCGAAUAGACAAACAACGUAUUCUAGCACCACACCUAGAACUAGGGCACGUGAUCCAAGCCCUGCCGGUUCAAUCAAACAAACACCAACAUAUACAAGAUCACUUUCAAGUAGAGACAAGCCCGUUGAAAACAAAUCCUUGACCCUUCCAGUCAGAAAAACACGUGACCCUAGUCCUUCUGUGUCCAAAAUCAGAAGUCGUGAUCCAAGUCCUGCAACCAGUACAUUGAGCACUCGGAGAUCUUCCCGUGAGCCAAGUCCAGCUGAAUCGAUUCGAGAAAAGUAUGGAUUGAACACAAAUUCAUAUAGACCGUACGGUAGAUCGAGCACUACAAAUUUAGGCGCCUCCAGUCCUGUUCCAGGGGUUGCUUUAUCCUACAUGACAAGCAGUGAAGCUGCAGUUGCUAGAACCAGUAGACCUUCGUCACGGCUGCUACUUAAUUCUCAAUCACGGGAAACAUCACAAUGCCCAUCACCCUUGUUGGUUAGGAGCCAAAUAUUCUCUCCAGAGCCACUGAAAAUCGUUGAAAACGACCAGAAGCAAGAAGAUGACGAGAGUUCUUCUUCCACCGAGACAAGUUCGUCGGACGAGGAAUCGUCCGAAGAAACUGAAAGCAGUGGCGAGCCGGAACCAAAAAUAUUCAUUGAAAUUACACUUGUUACCAGAGGAACUUCACCAACUCCUCCAGGAUCCACCCCAUACAUAAGAGCUCGGCGUGCUGAAAUGUGUAAAACCAUCGAAAAGACAAUUCAAAAGCAGCUUUUGAACGUGGAAACAGCAGACAAAGCUAUUCAGUCGGAUCGGAUGGAUGAUUCCACCAAGUAUCUGAGAUACAAUGCGACCACGACCCGAAAUUGGUCUCCCUUUUUGGGAUCUAGUGCUUCCUCGAAUUAUACGCGGUAUUCGAGUGCAUCUUCACGGUAUAGCCGUGACAGUACUAGUCAAAGUCGAGAAACAAGCGUAUGCUCGACUAAAAGUGAAGCACCCGAGAAGAAAGAGGAGAAAAUAUCCACUCUUGCGGCUCGAGUCAAGGAAAUGAGUCUUUCGAAAUCUGCUAGUCCAAAGAGCAAUUUAGCUAACAGCAGAUCUUCGACGAGUACGCCAUCGUUUAAGCCAAAAAGCCCUCCAAAGCAGAAAUCACCCGAAAAACCUCCACCUGCUCCAACCAAAGAUGGUUCACCGUUGAAAUCUGCUGCGAAUUCCGGUGGUACCAAAGUUAAUAAAGAUUUCCGAAAAUCUGUUCUCAACAUGGGACCAGCCCCUGAAAGACCCAGAAAAGGGUCCAACGCUUCGAGUAAAUCGAGCUCGUCCACAGCUUCUUCAUCAACUGCUACUCAGGGUUCUGAAAUUGUUAACCAAAAUGGCACCAGCAAGAUACCGCAAGUAAAUCGUGCUAGUGCCAGUCCCUGUCGCCGUUCGGACCGAUCAUCGUCAUCAAGCUCGGAGCUCAGUACAGCAACAUCUUCAACGUCCGAUAGCAAUGGUCAACCAUCGGUUGAUGAGUAUGGAAAUGCGACGACAGAUGCUUCGAAUGCUAAUAACGAGCUACUUAUGAGAGCCAUCCAACUGGCAACGAAUUUCGUGAACAAUAAUAACAGAAAUCAAGCAAACUGGUUUGAUAACAACAGCACAACGAGUAUGUCGGAGAGUUUAAACCAGGAAAAUAAUUCCAAAUCCGGUUGGGAAGCUGGAACUCACUACAUGGAGAGUAUCAAGGAUGACUCUUCGGAAGACGAAGAAGAACAAGACGAUGAAGAGCAAUCGUCAGGUCUUCAGCAGGCAUCUUGGUGGAAAAAUGACAACGGAUUUGUCGAGCACCCACCGGUGCAAGCGGUCACGUUACAAAAAUCUAGAAGUUUCAAGUUUAAUAUCAGACAUAUACAAUCGGGGGAACGGGCUUGGUGGCAAGAGGACGAUGACACAAAAACAGAGAAUGAAGAAAUGGCUGACACGACAGCGUGCAGCGAAAACUUAAGCAGCAGUUACAGUCCAUUUGUACCCGUCACUGAUCAAAAAGCAGGAUCAGAAGAACGGCCCUGGUGGUUAACCGAGGCUGGAGGUAAGACUGAAACGGAAAAUGAAGAACAGUCGGAAGAUCAAGGUAAUCGAUCAAAUGAGGUGUUUUCACCGUUCAAACCGAUUAGAGUGACCCGAGUUGAAUCCGGAGAGAAAGCUUGGUGGAUGAUGAGUACGGAUGAUGUGGCUGGUAAAGUUAAAGGUUCGGGAAAAUCUAGCAAGCAAAACUCUAAAGAAGUAUCUCCGGAUAAAAAAAGUCCCGGUUAUACGGUUUAUACUUUGGAAGCAGAAGAUGAAGCCUGGUGGAACGAAGCGAUGGCUGAUUUGGAAAAGAAAGAAAAGUCCAGUACUAGUGCCAGUUCCGCAGGUAGUAGUAAAACGCCUUCCAAAGAACCUACUCCGGAGCCAAAAACUCAAGGGCUUAAGCUGACACAUGUUAAAUCUGGAGAGAAAGCUUGGUGGCUGCUCAGCUCAGAUAAAAUAAAUGAGGUAGCAAGCAGUGAUACCUCCGUUCGAGAGUGUAGUCCCGUCAAGGCGACGCCAUUCAGAAUAACUCGAGUUGAAUCUGGUGAGGCACCAUGGUGGAUGACUGAAACUGGAGACGUUACGCUGUCUCGAUCAGCUUCCAAAAGUAAUGCCGUCAGUCGUUCCAAUAGUUUCAACAAUAAACAAACCAGUCCAACAAAGUACAAAAUCACUCGUGUACAGUCCGGAGAAAGAGCUUGGUGGAUGGAUAGCCCUGAAGAACAAGCUACGAGUCCUCAAAAGUUAUCUUCCUUCAUUGAAACGCACGGCGAGGAAGAAAAUCAUCAGUCAGGACUUGAUCUUGAUCUCGAUGAAGAAAUUCGCAGCAUCAGUAAAUUUGUUGCAGGAUUGCCACAAUUUCCUACCGAUGGUAAUGUUGUUAUUGAGGUAGUUUCCGAGACGCCCCUAGGUGAUCGAGCUAGUCCGGAAGGUGUUGAGGAUUCCAAAAACAUUACUGAUCGAUUAUCUCCCUACGAUAACAUUCCAUCAGAGCCGAUCCCGACUUCGGUGCCAAUCAAUGAACCCCCGAAAAUCUCCUACCAACAACCGGAGCUCGAUCGCAAAGCUACUCAAUCGCCAAUUUUCAUUUCGCGCCACACAAACAUCGACGAUCUACUGGGCGGAUCGUGCCACCCGUUGAGUCCGAUGAUGGAUCGAAUGUUUGUGAUGGAUGGGUUGCAGCAAAUUUCACCACUGGACGUGCGCAUUCACGACGGUUCGGCGCACUACAUUUAUGGCAAGAGAUCGGAAGAGAGUGGAGAACGAACAGCUGAUGAUGAGAUGUCUCGGAGAGCUGAGCUGGACGAUGCAGCGCUACAGGUGUUCAAAGAUGGCGAUUACGGGGCCUAUAUGGAUCUGGAAUCUUCGCUGGCCGAACAGUCCGAGGAAAUCGAAGGGCUCAACUCAAAUCGCAAAAAUUCUCUCGUCGUCCGGACUCAGCUCAGCGUCAGAGUUCAUUGUAUCAUAGAAAAACUUCUUUCCUCGGAAGGCCGAGAGUUGAGACGGGCAUUGUUCUCGCUGAAACAAAUCUUUCAGGAGGACAAGGAUCUGGUGCACGGUUUUGUGGCCCUCGGAGGACUCAAUUGCCUGGUUCAGAUUGGAAAUGAAGCAGAUCAGAACUACCAGAACUACAUUCUGAGGGCGUUGGGCCAGGUCAUGCUAUACGUCGACGGCAUGAAUGGAGUCAUGAAACAUUCGCCGACCAUUCAGUGGCUCUACUCGCUGAUUGCAUCCAAGUAUCGGUUGGUGGUCAAGACGGCCCUCAAACUGCUGCUGGUGUUCGUGGAAUACUGCGAGGGGAACUGCUACCUGAUGGUGAGCGCGAUUCGAUUCGUGGACACUGCCCUCGGUGUGGUGCCGUGGAAUAAUAUCAUGAGACUGCUUAAGGACUACGAAAAUGCGGACACCGAGCUGCUUAUCUACGCAACCUCACUCAUCAACAAAACCUUGUCCGGACUGAGCGAUCAAGAUUCGUUUUACGAUGAAAGCGAUUUCCUGGAACAGCAAGGCAUGGAAGGCAUCAUUCAGCGUUACAUGUCCCGCCAAGGUACGGAUCUGGAUCUGUUGGAUCAGCUACAGCUUUACGAGACCGUGUUACGAUUUGAAGACGGCGAAACCGAUGCUAAUUGCAUCCCGGAUAAUACGGUGCGGAAAACCCUCCGGUAUCGUUCAAAUGAGAACGAUCGACGAAAAUCCCGAAGACACAGUACUGGGACGGCUCCUGCUCCGCUACCACCUCCAAUACCUCCUCCUCCACCUCCUAUGCUGCUGGCUUCUCUGCCACCGGGAGUUCCUCCUCCACCACCUCCGCCUUUACCUCCUCCUGUAGCCCCAGUCACACUUUACGGUGGCUUGAAGUUGCCAGGUCAGCAACAACCCGACGAGGACAGUUCCAGCUCAGCCAACUCAGCAGAUCACAUAGCCGGUGGAGGUUACCGGGAUAAUUCCAGAGAUACUACCGGUGUAACACCUGGCCUUCGAAGACGUCGGGAACGUGCCGAACGCCAAAAGACCUUCAUGAGGGAACAGCAAGAACUUGCCCAGUACAAACCACCAGAUGAUACCAAUGGUCACGGACAUAUUCUAACCCAAAGUCAUCAGCAACAGCAGCCUCAGUCUGGCCCGCAGAUUCAACCGUUGAGGUAUCGCAAUGGCAGCAGCCACGAUUCCCGUAUUGCACGGCUUAGCAUUCAACAGCAACAGCAACAGGUCGCUCCAAUCAGCGAGCAUGACCCUAUGAAUCGGGUUCCUGCAACACUAACUCCAUCUGUGAUUUAUAGCAAUAAGCAUAGCGCUAGCAUUAAUCAUAACCAUCCAAUUAGUAACGGGGAUCUCGGACAGCCCAAAGUCACAACGCAAAACGGGGAUCAUCAGAUCGAGUACAGGAACAAUAGGAAUCUGCUGCUGAGCAAACAAAAUGGCGUAAGUAAUGGCGGCGGUCACUAUCACAGCAACGGUAAAAUCGACCUCAAUGGAAACAUGCCCGGUGGGCGGGGCGCCGAAAGUCCCCAGGAGCUGGACGAGAACGAGAGUCCGAACAUCAAAAUGAACGGUAACAUUAACUAUGUGGAUUUGAACAACGCUUACAAUGGCAACGGAUACCAUAUGAAUGGGUACGGUAAAAUACAAAAUGGUAAAGACGAGCAACAGCAGCGAUGGAGUAACGGUUAUUCUAAUGGUAACGCAGUUACGACUCCAAAUGGUGGAAACCAUCACCAUUUGUAUCUGGUGGAACAAAAUGGGACUCCGGAUCAAAGUCAAGCUGAAUCGGACAACGAGGAGAAGAAGCUGAUCCUGCAGCUGGUGAAGGACCACACCGUCAAAGAUCUGACCCAAAAGCUGAGCAAUCUUCCGCUGAGCCCCCAGGAGGAUAAGCCACAAAACCGGAUUGGCGACAUGUCCGGACUGAUUUCGAAAGCCAAAGAAGGGCUGGCAAAGAGCAAAAGCAACAAGGACAUAUCCCGAUCGCCAAGUGUGGAUAGUGACAUCAAGAAGCUGGCCACGGCAACGGAACCGAAGAAAUCGGAAAACGAGCUGCACUGGGAGGAGAUUAUCAAAAACAUGACCCGGAAGUUGAAUCUGUGCGAUUUGGAUUUUACCGAUCUCACGUCCGACGACGAUAAGGACAUCCUGGCGCCGAGGGGCUUCGGAGGGGCGGUUCCUCCCCCUCCACCUCCCGGGGGGCUACUGAGUGGUGGUCCAAUGGGAAUUAUGCCUCCGCCACCGAGCAUGAGACCCCCCAUGGGCAACAUGAUACCGCCUCCGAUGUACUCGAAUGGACUAUCGAUGUCCGCCCUGACCAAUGGAGACGCUGCCGGGGACAUGAACACCAUCAAGAAAAACAAAAAGACUGUAAAACUUUUCUGGAAAGAAGUCCGCGAGGACAUGAUCCCGACCACGAUACAGCGCACCAUUUGGGACGAACUUCCGGAGGCCAACGUGGACACCCAGAAGUUGGAGCAUUUGUUCGAGUCCCGUGGCAAGGAUCUGAUGACCAAGAAGCAGCAGGAGAUCAACAAAAACAAGGAAAUAAUCGUGCUGGACCACAAACGAUCUAACGCGAUUAACAUUGCCAUGACCAAAUUGCCUCCCCCGAGAGCUAUUAAGGCGGCCAUCUUAAAGAUGGACUCUACUGUGGUCACACGAGAAGGCAUCGAGAAGCUGCUCAACAUGUUGCCAUCGGAUGAGGAGCGAUGCAAGAUUCAGGAGGCUCAGAUGUUGAAUCCGGAACUUCCUCUGGGAACUGCUGAGCAAUUUUUGCUUACGCUUUCUUCGAUAUCGGAACUGGGCGCUCGACUUAAGUUGUGGGCAUUCAAACUAGAUUUCGAGAACAUCGAGAAAGAAAUCGCCGAGCCACUGAUGGAUCUCAAGCAAGGCAUUGAGCUUUUGAAGGCCAAUUUGACCUUUAAGUGUAUUCUUUCGACACUGCUCAAGGUAGGCAUUUUUCUCAAUGGGGCUCCCGUGAAAGGGUUCCAAAUCGAUUAUCUAGCCAAAGUACCGGAAGUCAAAGACACCGUCCAUAAGCACUCCUUGCUGCAUCAUCUGUGUCACAUGGUCAUGGAAACCCAGGCCAACACCACGGAUCUGUACUCGGAAAUUGGUCCCAUAACUCGGGCCUCUAAGGCCGAUUUCGGUGAGCUGGCUCACAAUAUCAACUACCUGGAAACCGAAUGCAAAGCCUCGUGGGACCGACUUAAGUUAAUCGGAAAACACGACACCGCACCACAUCUGAAGCAAAAACUGAUAGAUUUUCUAGCCGAUUGCGCCGAACGGAUCAUCAUCCUGAGCAUCGUCCAUCGGAGGGUACUCAAUAGAUACCGCAAGUUCCUGCUUUGGUUGGGCGUUCCGCAGCAUCGGAUUUCGGAGUCGCGGCCGAACGAGUUCUGUCGGAUAGUGUCGGAGUUUGCGUUGGAGUAUCGGACUACCCGGGAGCGAGUUCAGCAGCAGAUCGAGAAGAAGGCUAACCACCGAGAGAGAAACAAGACUAGGGGCAAGCUGAUAGUGGAUGUGGGCAAGUUUAAGGGCUCCGCAGCUGCUGCUUCCGGUGCCACCCAGGAGGACCGAGCCGAUGUGGAGUUGAGAACUCUACUAGGCACCCCAACCAAAGGCCCCGGUGGCGACGAGGUGGAAAGUAGUGGAACCCUGACCUGGCGCCGACGACGGGGAGACGCCACGGCCUCACCGGUGACCUUGAUAAAUUCCAGUGCAACCCUCGGAGGCAGUAAUUUCACCGGAAAUAAUCACAACCGGGACGAAAGUUUCACCGACGGCGACGACGAAAUCCUGGAAUCGCUGGUGAAGACGGCAACCAAAGCGGCGACCCCGAGGCCUACCCAGCGGGAACGAAAACGAACCCGACAGGCGGACCGGAAAUCCUUUAAGAGGUCAAGAACGCGUGAAGGUUUUGAGGUGGAACGCAGUGGUCACUCGCCGGUCUAACACAACCUCAAGUGACACUUCCUUACUUUCUAGUUGUAGAUAGUUAGUUGUACGUCCCAGUUUAAUGACCGUUAUACGUUGUGAUAAAGUAAGACGAACGCUGAAAAAUGGAUUAUCUGAGGAGGAAAAGCAACAUGUGGCCUCGCUGAUAAAAGGAUACUGAAAGCGGAAAAAAAAACUGGACCAAUCAUCGUCACGUGGAGCCGCUCGCUUCCGGAAUAAACGGAGAAUGCAGUGGAUUACGGCACCAUGCCAGUCGGAGUCCUACGUUUAACUUGAUGUAGAUGAGACAGCGAAACUUUUCCGGAGGACCCGUUCCUUGGUCUUAAGUUAGUGGGUGGGUGACGAUGACGACAAAAUUCGGAGCAACGUUGAAAAAUACUUUCAAAUGUGAUACUUAAGAUGAGAAAGAAGAGAAAAACGUGGAUUAAAACGGAUUAGUGUGUAGUUAGAGCGAAAUUAUAAAAACAGUAACAGUAGAAAGCGAGCGCAAUGCGAUCAACUUCCGGGCUCAAAGUUUCAAGUAAUUUCUUGCAAACAGCUAAAAUUUUCAACUAUACGGACUAGUCUUUGCUAAUUGGAUCUUCAAGAAAGAAAAAAAACACGUGAACAGAUAAACGAGAGUGAAAUGAAACUUUAGAUCCCGGAGCACGACGAAAUUCGUUCAGACUGUGCCGGUAGCAAUUUAGAGAGAACGGAUUAAACGAAAAUAUUAAGAAGAAGUAGAAAGCAUUGGAGCGAAUAUUUGAGUAACUGUUUCUUAUCCAAGUGACUGUAUAGACCAAUUGAAUGUUAUAAUAGAAAUUCCUAAAUGAUGAAUACUAAUGACAUCGAUAAAAUAAAUCGAAGUAAAAAAAAUAGAUUCUGAGAAAUGAAACAUUUCUAUACUGAUAACAGUAAUGUAGCUUUAUGAGUAGAAAAAUAUCGAAAAUGAAAUAAUCAAAUACACGUACUUACUAUGAAGAAAAAUCAAUAAAUAAAGAAAAAGUCUAACAAUUUAAA